AACGGCCGCGGUACUCUGACCGUGCUAAGGUAGCAUAAUCAUUUGCCUUAUAAUUGAAGGCUAGAAUGAAUGGAUUUACAAGAAAGUAUCUGUCUCUUUUCUUUAUUUAGAAUUUGCUGUCGGAGUGAAGAAGCUCUGAUUUUUAAGUUAGACGAGAAGACCCUAUUGAGCUUUACUAUUAUUAUAAAUUUUAAUUUAUAUUCCUAGUUUGAUUGGGGCGAUCAAGGAAGGAUAAAUAUCUUCCUUAUUCUUUUUUAUAUUUUAUUAUUUUGAUCCCCUUUUAGGGAUUAUAAAAAUAAGUUACCAUAGGGAUAACAGCGUAAUCUUCUUUUAGAGCUCUUAUCAAAAAGAAGGUUUGCGACCUCGAUGUUGGACUAAGAUAUCCUAAAGGUGCAGAAGCUUUUAUCGGUGGGUCUGUUCGACCCUUAAAAUCUUACAUGAUCUGAGUUCAGACCGGCGUGA
rnacentral:rRNA from 1 species